GCAUCUUGAGAAGAAAAUGAUUUCAUUUUAUAUAGAUUCACUGCUUUUUUUUCCUCCUUGAUUUUCCUUACAUUGGGUACAAGAAAAGAACCAAAACAGUAAAACUAGUAUUAUUUGCUGAUUACCUAAUUCCAUCCAAAAUAUAUAUUAUUUCUUCUUCCUCAUGCCUCUGCGAUGCAAUGCACGAUCACACACACACACACACACACAUAUAUAUAUAUAUAUAUAUAUAUAU
rnacentral:lncRNA from 1 species